GUGCUCACUUCGGCAGCGCACAUCAUAAAAUUGGAACAAUGCAGAGAAGAUUAGCAUGGCCCCUGUGCAAGCAUGACACACAAAUCCGUAAAGCAUAUUGUUUCUAA
ensembl:snRNA U6 U6 spliceosomal RNA